GGAGUUAGCCGGUGCUUCUUCUGUGAGUGAUGUCCUUCCUGCCGGUUAUUGACCCGCAGGCCUUCUUCCUCACUGAAAGUGCUUUACAACCCGAAGGCCUUCUUCACACACGCGGCAUGGCUGGAUCAGGGUUGCCCCCAUUGUCCAAUAUUCCCCACUGCUGCCUCCCGUAGGAGUCUGGGCCGUGUCUCAGUCCCAGUGUGGCUGAUCAUCCUCUCAGACCAGCUACGGAUCGUCGCCUUGGUGAGCCGUUACCUCACCAACCAGCUAAUCCGACAUAGGCUCAUCCGAUAGCGCGAGGCCCGAAGGUCCCCCGCUUUCCCCCGUAGGGCGUAUGCGGUAUUAGCCUGGGUUUCCCCAGGUUAUCCCCCACUACCGGGCAGAUUCCUAUGCAUUACUCACCCGUCCGCCGCUCGCCACCAGGGAGCAAGCUCCCCGUGCUGCCGCUCGACUUGCAUGUGUUAGGCCUGCCGCCAGUGUUCAAUCUGAGCCAGAAUCGAACCCUGA
rnacentral:rRNA from 1 species